GAACGUCAAACUAAUCAGAGAUGAUCAGCGGUAUUCCGUGCCGCAACGCGACCGGUCACGGAUAGAAGAGCCUCCACCAAACCACUUACUGAGAAAGAGUUACAGAGAAUAGCCGAAAACUUAUCUGAUAUUGAGGAUGAUAUUGUCGACUUUGAGAGGAGGAAGUAAGUGAAGAAGAUUGCUAUAACAGUGAAUUGGAACAGUCCGCUGAUGAAUUUUCCGAAGAAACUGAAUCCUUUUUCAGGCCCAAUGAGAGUGAACGUUUUUAUAUUGGGAAAAAUGAAGAGACGAUUUGAAAAAGUACUCCUGUAAUUCAAGGUAAUAAAACCAAGGCUAAAAAUAUUAUCAAAGUUUUACCUGGAUCAAAAGGUGCGGCCAAAAAUGUGUCAAAACCAUUAGAUUCGUUUUUUCUGUUUUUGACUAGGGAUAUGGUAGAUCAUAUCGUACUAUGCACUAAUAUUUAUAUCAAAAAUAAACGUGAUAAUUUUAUACGAGACCGAGAUUGUAAGUUAACUUCUUCCGAAGAAAUGUUGGCAUUAUUUGGAGCACUUUUCAUAAUUUUCAUAAAAAAAGGAAACCACGUAAAUGUUGAAGAACUUUGGGCCAAAGAUGAGACAGGAAUGAUUCUGUUAAGAGCAUUAUUCAGUUAUAAAAGAUUUUUGUUUCUUCUUCGUGCCCUUCGUUUCGAUGAUAUAACAACAAGAAAAGAACGCGAGAAAUUUGAUAAAUUAGCAGCGAUAAGAAAGAUAUUUGAGGAUUUUGUCAAAAAUUACUUGAAAAGUUAUAGUUUGGGUGAGUUUAUUACAAUUGACGAAAUGUUACAUCCAUUUCGAGGAUGAUGCGGAUUUGUUCAGUAUAUGUCACUAAAACCUGCCAAAUAUGGCAUCAAAUUCUAUGCUCUUUGUGACAGUAAAACGUACUACACUUGGAAAUUUGAAAUAUAUUGUGGAUUACAACGGGAGGGACCUUUCAAAACUUCAAACAAACCA